CCCUGGUAAUUCAGAUGGUAAAAAAACCUGCCUGCAAUGCAGGAGACCCUGGUUCGAUCCCUGGGUCGGGAA
rnacentral:tRNA from 1 species